UUCAUCUCCGUUUUCAAUAUUCCACUUCUACACCUGCCUUCUACUUAGGGCUUCAUGCUUCAUAUUCAGUUGAUAUCAUCAGAGAAAACCACUCCUCUAUCAAUACCUCAUUUUGGUGUUUUUAAUAUUUUUCUUUUGUUAAUUUGUACAGUAAUCGUUCCACGAAAUUCCUCAAUGAAAGUAACUAUACAAGUAUUUCGCAAAAGAGUUGGGCUUCAAAGAAUUAUCAAAGCUAAGUUAAAGAGGUUGGUUACGGCCUCAGUUAUUGUGACCAUGUGCUUAUGUCUCAAUGGUGUAUGAUAGUGUUUACAAAGGGAUUGUACUAGCCAGCUUGAUGAAUUGGCCACCAAGACUUAUGCUGCCAUGAUUACUGCGCACCCUGACUAUGCAUGUGUAAGUCUCAAUUUGUUGUGCCAUUUUUGUUGAUGUGACUUUCAGGAAUUAUUUUUAUUGUGCUAUUUUUUUAGAUGCUUCAUUUUAGGUUCUGGGUUAAUUUUCAAGGAUUGAAAAAUUGAGUAUUUGAUCAAUUUGCUACGUGAUAUAAAUGAAUUUUUCUUUUCUAUUUCUUGAAGCUAUAUUACAUCAGUUUCAGUUAGUACCUUUUUGGCUUUAGGUUUAAAGCUUUCUUGAAAUGUGUGGGUUUGUAUGCACAAUGUUUGAAUAUCGAUCUAGAUUAAAAUUUACGCCAAUUAAGUUAUAAGCCUCUAAGAAGAGAAUAAAGAUAUAAGACAAACAGGGUAAAAGUAAUGGAGUGGUGAGGCAAAAUAUUCAUUUACCUUCAAGAAUCGAGAUAGGUUGAGCUUAUUUUGGAAAUCCUAGGUUUUGAAUUUUGUGGAGAAACUCUCUCAAACUUGGGGUAAGUUUCUUACUCUAUCUAUAUGUGAAUUAGUAUAUCUUUUGUAUGGUGACUUUUAGUCAUUUAAAAUCAGAAAUUUAAUCCCGUGAAUUGGACAGCAGUUACUAUUUUGGGAAUAACUUUUUUUCUAAAAAUCGGGUUGGGGUAAUUCAAAAGGCUAUAAAAAGAUAAGAGAUAUAUCUACAAUUGUUAUAAAGACCAAGAUGUCCAGUUCUGUGGUUUACUGCCUCAAAAAAUAUACUGCAAUACAGCGCAGAGCUGUUGCCCAGAUUUUCUCCUUAAGAAUUGUGAAUUGUGGAGACCAUUUAAACCCCAAUUUUGUUUAUAUAGUGAUGAGUCUUGCUCAAUUACUCUGAGAGGACAAUAAAAAUAAAGUUGUUUAAGAGGAAAUAUAGUGAUCCGUGUGUGCUGAAAAAUUAUGAUGAAGUUUUGAAAUCACUAAGCACUUUAAAUGUUGGUACUGCUACACGACUGCUAGGUAAAUAUGUGCCAUUGUGUUCGAAGCUGAAUAUUUUUAAAAAAAAAUAUAUGCAAGAUUGCUCUCGAAAGUGACUGUAUAAAGACAAUUAAUCAAAUAAAAUCACAUUUUCUUUUGUGGUAAAGAUGAAACCAUGUUCGUUAAGCUAAAAGGUGUGUAUAAGAAUCUUCUCCAUUGUCCUUUUACUCUUUUGAUGAAAGUGUCUUAUUAUUUUCUGUUAUCUUAAUCUGUCUCUAAAGUUACCUUAUAUUCAUAACAGAUACUUCAAAUGGCCAGGCUCAGUACGUUUAAAAUUUGACUAAUCUGAAGGUAAUAUCAUGUAAGUUUAUUUUUCUUCAUUUGGGUUUCAAAUUCACUUUCUUUUAGUUUUUUUGCAAUAAACUUUCUAUAUUGGGUUGAUGUGAAGAUUUGUGUAUGACUGGUAAUUUUUAAUUUUGAGGAUAAGUAGAGUCACUUCUCGAUGAGUAUCAGUUCAAGAUCUCAUUAUAUAUCACUAAACUGAUGAAUGCCUUUCUUGUGAAAAGUAUUACUAUAAUAAGAUGAGACACUAAAGGUAACUAUAUUUUUGUGCUAUAACACUAAGCUAACAGAUAUAUUCAUGUGAAACAAGUUUGGAAGAUGUACAGGUUUCAAAAACCAGAUAGGAAUUGAUUACUCACACUAAUUGACCAAAACAAAGAAUAGUUGUAUAAAACCUUCGCUAAUAAUUCUGCUGAU
rnacentral:lncRNA from 1 species